GCUCGUUCACGCUGGAUCUAUUCGCCUCCAGGAUGAACUAUCAGAUCCAGACUUACUUCAGCUGGCUCCCGGACCCAGCGUGCUCGGCAGUAGACGCCUUUCUCCAAGUGUGGCCUUCACAGGGAGCGUAUGCUUUUCCUCCAUUUGCUAUGAUGGUAUUGCUGCAAGUUCGAUGUCAGCGUUUGUCUUUGGUGUUGCUGACUCCUCUAUGGCAGAGUCAAGCCUGGGAUCC